GUUGAUAAGGUUAAGUGAAUAAGGGCGCACGGUGGAUGCCUUGGCACUAGGAGCCGAUGAAGGACGGGACUAACACCGAUAUGCUUUGGGGAGCUGUACGUAAGCUAUGAUCCAGAGAUUUCCGAAUGGGGGAACCCAGCAUCUUUUAUAGGAUGUUACGUAUACGUGAAUACAUAGCGUAUACGAGGUAGACGCAGAGAACUGAAACAUCUAAGUACCUGCAGGAAGAGAAAGAAAAUUCGAUUCCCUGAGUAGCGGCGAGCGAAACGGGAAAAGCCCAAACCAAUGAGCUUGCUCAUUGGGGUUGUAGGACUCCAAUAUGGUAGUUCUUUCAGAUAGUCGAAUGACUUGGAAAAGUCAGUCAGAGAGGGUGAAAGCCCCGUAGAUGAAAUUUGGAAGGCACCUAGGAGGAUCCUGAGUACGGCGGAACACGAGGAAUUCCGUCGGAAUCCGGGAGGACCAUCUCCCAAGGCUAAAUACUCCCUAGUGACCGAUAGUGAACCAGUACCGUGAGGGAAAGGUGAAAAGCACCCCGGAAGGGGAGUGAAAUAGAACCUGAAACCGUGUGCCUACAACAAGUCAAAGCCCGUUAAUGGGUGAUGGCGUGCCUUUUGUAGAAUGAACCGGCGAGUUACGAUUGCAUGCGAGGUUAAGUUGAAGAGACGGAGCCGCAGCGAAAGCGAGUCUGAAUAGGGCGUUUGAGUAUGUAGUCGUAGACCCGAAACCAUGUGAUCUACCCAUGUCCAGGUUGAAGGUGCGGUAAAACGCACUGGAGGACCGAACCCACGUACGUUGAAAAGUGCGGGGAUGAGGUGUGGGUAGCGGAGAAAUUCCAAACGAACUUGGAGAUAGCUGGUUCUCUCCGAAAUAGCUUUAGGGCUAGCCUCGGAAUUGAGAAUGAUGGAGGUAGAGCACUGUUUGGACUAGGGGCCCAUCUCGGGUUACCGAAUUCAGAUAAACUCCGAAUGCCAUUCAUUCAUAUCCGGGAGUCAGACUGUGAGUGAUAAGAUCCAUAGUCGAAAGGGAAACAGCCCAGACCACCAGCUAAGGUCCCAAAAUAUAUGUUAAGUGGAAAAGGAUGUGGGGUUGCACAGACAACUAGGAUGUUGGCUUAGAAGCAGCCACCAUUUAAAGAGUGCGUAAUAGCUCACUAGUCGAGUGACCCUGCGCCGAAAAUGUACCGGGGCUAAACAUAUUACCGAAGCUGUGGAGUACACCUUUAGGUGUAUUGGUAGGAGAGCGUUCUAAGGGCGUUGAAGGUAGAUCGUGAGGACUGCUGGAGCGCUUAGAAGUGAGAAUGCCGGUAUGAGUAGCGAAAGACAGGUGAGAAUCCUGUCCACCGAAUGACUAAGGUUUCCUGGGGAAGGCUCGUCCGCCCAGGGUUAGUCGGGACCUAAGCCGAGGCCGACAGGCGUAGGCGAUGGACAACAGGUUGAUAUUCCUGUACUCGUUGUUUUUGUUUGAGCAAUGGAGGGACGCAGGAGGCUAAGGAAUGCAGACGAUCGGAAAUGUCUGUCCAAGCAGUAAGUCUUGAUAGGAGUCAAAUGCUUCUAACUUUAAGGACAAGCUGUGAUGGGGAGGGAAAUAAUAGUACCGAAGUUCCUGACGUCACACUGCCGAGAAAAGCUUCUAGUGAGAAAACAACGACCCGUACCGCAAACCGACACAGGUAGUCGAGGAGAGAAUCCUAAGGUGAGCGAGAGAACUCUCGUUAAGGAACUCGGCAAAAUGACCCCGUAACUUCGGGAGAAGGGGUGCUGAUCGUCAGAUCAGCCGCAGUGAAUAGGCCCAAGCGACUGUUUAUCAAAAACACAGGUCUCUGCAAAAUCGUAAGAUGAAGUAUAGGGGCUGACGCCUGCCCGGUGCUGGAAGGUUAAGAGGAGUGCUUAGCGUAAGCGAAGGUACGAAUUG
rnacentral:rRNA from 1 species